rnacentral:rRNA from 1 species
GACGAACGUUGGCGGCGCGCCUAACACAUGCAAGUCGAACGGAGCUGAGAGAAGCUUGCUUUUCUUAGCUUAGUGGCGAACGGGUGAGUAACGCGUGAGUAACCUGCCCUGGAGUGGGGGACAACAGUUGGAAACGACUGCUAAUACCGCAUAAGCCCACGAUCCGGCAUCGGAUUGAGGGAAAAGGAUUUAUUCGCUUCAGGAUGGACUCGCGUCCAAUUAGCUAGUUGGUGAGGUAACGGCCCACCAAGGCGACGAUUGGUAGCCGGACUGAGAGGUUGAACGGCCACAUUGGGACUGAGACACGGCCCAGACUCCUACGGGAGGCAGCAGUGGGGGAUAUUGCACAAUGGGGGAAACCCUGAUGCAGCGACGCCGCGUGGAGGAAGAAGGUUUUCGGAUUGUAAACUCCUGUCGUUAGGGACGAUAAUGACGGUACCUAACAAGAAAGCACCGGCUAACUACGUG